CUACGGGAGGCUGCAGUGGGGAAUAUUGCACAAUGGGCGCAAGCCUGAUGCAGCCAUGCCGCGUGUAUGAAGAAGGCCUUCGGGUUGUAAAGUACUUUCAGCGGGGAGGAAGGGAGUAAAGUUAAUACCUUUGCUCAUUGACGUUACCCGCAGAAGAAGCACCGGCGAACUCCGUGCCAGCAGCCGCGGUAAUACGGAGGGUGCAAGCGUUAAUCGGAAUUACUGGGCGUAAAGCGCACGCAGGCGGUUUGUUAAGUCAGAUGUGAAAUCCCCGGGCUCAACCUGGGAACUGCAUCUGAUACUGGCAAGCUUGAGUCUCGUAGAGGGGGGUAGAAUUCCAGGUGUAGCGGUGAAAUGCGUAGAGAUCUGGAGGAAUACCGGUGGCGAAGGCGGCCCCCUGGACGAAGACUGACGCUCAGGUGCGAAAGCGUGGGGAGCAAACAGGAUUAGAUACCCCAGUAGUC
rnacentral:rRNA from 1 species